UACGUAGGGUGCAAGCGUUGUCCGGAAUUAUUGGGCGUAAAGAGCUCGUAGGCGGUUUGUCGCGUCUGCUGUGAAACUGGAGGCUCAACCUCCAGCCUGCAGUGGGUACGGGCAAACUAGAGUGCGGUAGGGGGAGAUUGGGAAUUCCUGGUGUAGCGGUGGAAUGCGCAGAUAUCAGGAGGAACACCGAUGGCGAAGGCAGGUCUCUGGGCCACUACUGACGCUGAGAAGCGAAAGCAUGGGGAGCAAACAGG
rnacentral:rRNA from 1 species